UACGAAGGGGGCUAGCGUUGCUCGGAAUCACUGGGCGUAAAGGGCGCGUAGGCGGCCAUGCGUGUCUUCCGUGAAAUCCCUCGGCUUAACUGAGGACGUGCGGAAGAAACUGCAAGGCUCGAGUCCGGGAGAGGGGGGUGGAAUUCCCAGUGUAGCGGUGAAAUGCGUAGAUAUUGGGAGGAACACCGGUGGCGAAGGCGGCCCCCUGGACCGGUACUGACGCUGAGGCGCGAAAGCGUGGGUAGCAAACGGGG
rnacentral:rRNA from 1 species